CUACAACGGAAUAGUAUACAAAGUCAACACCAAUGAUUAAAUAGAAUUUAUGGCUACACAAACCGUUGAAGAUAGUUCUAAACCUAGGCCAAAACGAACUGGUGCAAGUAGAUCGGAAGAGCUUCGUGAAGGAAA